ACCGUAGGGUGCGCGCGUUGUCCGGAAUUAUUGGGCGUAAAGAGCUCGUAGGCGGUGUGUCGCGUCGGCCGUGAAAACCUGCAGCUUAACUGUGGGCUUGCGGUCGAUACGGGCAUCACUGGAGUUCGGCAGGGGAGACUGGAACUCCUGGUGUAGCGGUGAAAUGCGCAGAUAUCAGGAGGAACACCGGUGGCGAAGGCGGGUCUCUGGGCCGAUACUGACGCUGAGGAGCGAAAGCGUGGGGAGCGAACAGG
rnacentral:rRNA from 1 species